UUGGGGUUCUUUUUCCUGUUUUAUUUUGUUUUCUUUUCCUCUUCUGUCCUGGGUUUUUUCUGGGAAGCUGCGUUUCCUUUAACAGCCAUCAGAUGUCACCAGUGAGCGGAGCCCCUGGAGAAGUGUGGCGGCCAACCUGUAGACGCACCUGUGUCUAAUUUUCAAGAGCUGCGGAGGUGCUUCAUAAGGACAGCCUAGCUGACACUCCAGUGCCUGAGUGUUUGCCUUCACUGAUUUCCUUGUGAUCGCCCUGUGACUCCUGGAUGUGGACAAGCGCUCCCCCCUGGAUUUCCUUGUGUUCCUCACGACGCCAUUGGUAUUACCAAUCGGUUGCCUUCCUCCGUGCACUUACCUCCCUGGUCCCUCCCCGUGGAUCCUCUGUGCCUCGCCACCGGCUGAGCCUGCCAGCGUUUCAUGUUCCGGGAGCUAACUGUCGAAGCCCCGCUCGGAAGUCAGCUCACUCUGCUCUCCAGCUGCAAGGCUUACCUGCUCGCUCUCCGACGGUAACUCACUUCUCCAGCCGCCACCAUUGACAAUACUAACCUCCGCAUUCAAUCUGAUGACCAGUUUCCUCCAGUCCCAGGUUCCAGAACUAUUUCCCCUGACCCCUCUUCCUUUCACCAAGAUAAAUAUUAUUGUUGUUUCAUAUCGCUUCUCUUGGUGUGUUCUUGCAUGUGGGUAACCCGGCUAUCACC